GUAAGGAAUAUUGGUCAAUGGAGGCAACUCUGAACCAGCCAUGCCGCGUGCAGGAAGACGGCCCUCUGGGUUGUAAACUGCUUUUAUCCGGGAAUAAACCUGCCUUCGUGAAGGUAGCUGAAUGUACCGGAAGAAUAAGGAUCGGCUAACUCCGUGCCAGCAGCCGCGGUAAUACGGAGGAUCCAAGCGUUAUCCGGAUUUAUUGGGUUUAAAGGGUGCGUAGGCGGCCUGUUAAGUCAGGGGUGAAAGACGGUGGCUCAACCAUCGCAGUGCCCUUGAUACUGAUGGGCUUGAAUGGACUAGAGGUAGGCGGAAUGUGACAAGUAGCGGUGAAAUGCAUAGAUAUGUCACAGAACACCGAUUGCGAAGGCAUUGUACUGGCCGACAACUGACGCUGAUGCACGAAAGUGUGGGGAUCGAACAGGAUUAGAAACCCUGGUAGUCC
rnacentral:rRNA from 1 species